CCGCGCGCCUCCGACCCUGCCGGGCCGCUUUGUGACUUCACUCGUUUCGCAACAAGCCCGGGGAGCCCGCGCCCCACCCACUCUGGCCGGCAGCCUCGCCGCCAGCAGCCUCGCUCCGCUCCUCGCCCUUCCCCUCCCUCCGGGGCUUGGCCUGCCCCGGCCCUCGCGGAGCCUCCCCUCCCACCGUCCGUGACCGUCAGUGCCCGGCCGCCGCCUCCAGGCAGCCCGGAGCAACCCGGCGCCCGGCCCCGCUGGACGCAGCACUCCGUCGGCGGCGCGAUGCUGUGCUUCCUGAGGGGAAUGGCUUUCGUCCCCUGCCUCUUGGUGACCUGGUCGACAGCAGCCUUCAUUAUCUCCUACAUGGUCGCCGUGCUGUCCGGGCACGUCAACGCCUUCCUCCCCUACAUCCGUGAUACAGGAACACCACCUCCAGAGAGUGGUAUUUUUGGAUUGAUGAUAAACUUCUCUGCAUUUCUUGGUGCAGCCACGGUGUACACAAGAUAUAAAAUCGUAGAGAAGCAAAAUCAAACCUGCUAUUUCAGCACUCCUGUUUUUAACUUGGUGUCUUUUUUUUUUUUUUUUUUUCCUGCGGGCCUGGUCUUUAGUGCUUGAUUGUGCAUGUUUCGGAUGUGCUUGCCGAUUUUGAGGAGUUGCUGUGCCUUUUCGGCCUUUGUCUGUGGUGUCGUGUACACGCUUCUACAGUCCAUCCUAUCUUACAAGUAAUAUCCCGAGUGGAACAGUCUCUCGACAUGCCGCAUACGGAUGUUCAUCGCUGCCGUUUCUUGCGCAGCUGUCAUCCCCAUGAUUGUCUGUGCUUCACGAAUUUCCAUAACCAAGCUGGAGUGGAAUACAAGAGAAAAGGAUUGUGUAUAUCACCUAGUGAGUGCGAUCUGCGAAUGGACAGUGGCCUUUGGUUUUAUUUUCUACUUCCUAACUUUCAUCCAAGAUUUCCAGAGUGUCACCCAAAGGGUAUCCGCAGAAAUCAAUGAGGAUAUUUGA